rnacentral:rRNA from 1 species
ACGAACGCUGGCGGCGUGCUUAACACCUGCCAGUCGAACGGAAAGGCCCUGCUUUUGUGGGGUGCUCGAGUGGCGAACGGGUGGGUAACACGUGAGUAACCUGCCCUUGACUUUGGGAUAACUUCAGGAAACUGGGGCUAAUACCGGAUAGGAGCUCCUGCUGCAUGGUGGGGGUUGGAAAGUUUCGGCGGUUGGGGAUGGACUCGCGGCUUAUCAGCUUGUUGGUGGGGUAGUGGCUUACCAAGGCUUUGACGGGUAGCCGGCCUGAGAGGGUGACCGGCCACAUUGGGACUGAGAUACGGCCCAGACUCCUACGGGAGGCAGCAGUGGGGAAUAUUGCACAAUGGGCGGAAGCCUGAUGCAGCAACGCCGCGUGCGGGAUGACGGCCUUCGGGUUGUAAACCGCUUUCGCCUGUGACGAAGCGUGAGUGACGGUAAUGGGUAAAGAAGCACCGGCUAACUACGUG